CCGCCCAUAGCUUAGGGGUAAAGCAGCGGACUCUUAAUCCGUAGACCUUGGUUCGAUUCCAAGUGGGCGGA
rnacentral:tRNA from 2 species